rnacentral:lncRNA from 1 species
CCUUCUUGAUGAUGGCGUCAAUAUCUACGGGAUAUGGGCAGCCAAAUUGCGAAGCCGCAGACCGAAAAUCAUAAACCUCCAGGUGAGCGCGAAGCAAGGCGGUUUAUGCUCCAUGACGUACUCUUAAUGUUUCAUAUGAUUGAAACGCGCAGGCGACACAACCGGUAGAGCAACAUUUCCCAGUUGCGCGACGAACCAUAGCGUGGGGACGCCCUUGACGACAACAAAACAUGCAAGGACACACACAAGUGCCCCUGCCCUCGGCGAAUGCCGGCG